GACGAACGCUGGCGGCGUGCUUAACACAUGCAAGUCGAACGGACAGGCCCUGCUUUUUUGGGGUGCUCGAGUUGCGAACGGGUGAGUAACCCUUGAGUAACCUGCCCUUCACUUUGGUAUAUCUUCAUGAAACUUGUGCUCAUACCGGAUAUGAUCUCCUGCUUCAUGGUGGGCGUUGGUAUGUUUCGGCGGUUGGUUAUGGUCUCGCCGCUUCUCAGCUUGUUUGUGGGGUAGUGGCUUACCAAGGCUUUGACGGGUAGCCGGACUGAGAGGGUGAACGGAGAAAUUGGGACGGAGAUACGGCACAGACUACAACGGGAGGGAGCAGAGGGGAAGAUAGCACAAUGGGAGGAAGCAAGAGGAAGCAAAGCCGCGUGGGGGAUGACGGGAUUGGGGUUGUAAAGCGAAUUAGCCUGAGAGGAAGCGAGAGUGACGGUAAUGGGUAAAGAAGCACCGGCUAACUACGUG
rnacentral:rRNA from 1 species